rnacentral:tRNA from 1 species
AUAGGCGUGCGCUGAACGGCGAGGCAGUGGAUUGCAAAUCCUCACAAUGCAGGUUCGAAUCCUGUCGCCUAUUCCA